UCCGACUUAACGUCGGCAGUCUCGCUAGAGUGCCCAACUGAAUGCUGGCAACUAACGAAAGAGGUUGCGCUCGUUGCGGGACUUAACCCAACAUCUCACGACACGAGCUGACGACAGCCAUGCAGCACCUUCUCAUCGAUUCCCCGAAGGGCACUCCCACGUCUCUGCAGGAUUCCGAUGGAUUUAACCCAGGUAAGGUUCUGCGCGUUGCGUCGAAUUGAACCACAUGCUCCACCGCUUGUGCGGGCCCCCGUCAAUUCAUUUGAGUUUUAACCUUGCGGCCGUACUCCCCAGGCGGUCUACUUAGUGCGUUAGCUGCGCCACUAAGAGCUCAAGGCUCCCAACGGCUAGUAGACAUCGUUUACGGCUGGGACUAC
rnacentral:misc_RNA from 1 species